AAAAUUUCUCAUUUUUAAUUAGUAAACUCAAAUUUUUAUGUAGUUUUAUAAAAUAAAAUUUUUAUUUAUUUUAAUUUUUAUUAUCAGUAAGAUUCCAUUUUUUAUACUUUUCUUCAGCAAGGAUGUGUGAAAUUGAUCAAAAGUGACAGUAAAACAUUUUUCUCUCUCUCUCUCUCUAUCUCUCUCUCUCUAUAUAUAAAUGGAAUAAUCAAAUAAUCAGAAAUGUUCCUUGAGCAUCAAAUCAUCAUAUUAGAAUGAUUUCUGAAGAUCAUGUGACACUGAAGACUGAAGUAAUGAUGCUGAAAAUUCAGCUGCACAUCACAGAAAUAAAUUACAUUCUACAAUAUAUACACAUGGAAAACAGUUAUUUUUUAAUUGAAAUAAUAUUUCACAAUUUUCCUGUUUCUUUAUUGUAUUUUUGAUCAGAUAAAUGCAGCACUGGUGAACAGAAGAGUCUUCUGUUUGUUUUUGAUCUUGUGUGUUGUGUGUCUGUAGUUCCCUCGUGUCUCCGGCAGUCUGACAGUGAGGAGGUGAAGGAGAGCGUUCGGCGGCUCAGUGGAGCUCAUGGGCUCAAGAGCAGUCCGUCUCCCAUCAGCCUGAGUUCUGUGUCCAGCUCCACCCUGACCACUGGAACCAGCACGCCCGAGUCCACCACAGCCACCGGCAAAACCACGCACCACAGCUUCUGGGAAAUGCUGAGUAAACCAGAGACUUCUGAGCUUGGCAGUCCGAAGACGACGGAUGACAUUGUACCGGAGCGUGUCGACACAAGAUGGAGAGCGUCAAACAGCAGUGGAACAAUGAGAAAGCCAUGGCAGUCGAGCAUGAGCAGGCCCACACACACACACACACACACACACACACACACACAGCUGUUUCUUACGCUUCUGUCUGUAAAAUAACAUUCGCACAAGCUUUCCAUGAUAAAAUGAACAUGUUCAGAUAAGACAAAAAAAGGAGACGACAUGAAAACUAAAACAAUUAAAAAUAUUUUCAUUAAUUUCAUCAAUAAAGCUUAAAUAAGGUAUACAUUUUAGAUGACAACUUAAAAAUAAAAUUAGGAAUGUUGCCUUGGCAACUAAAUGAAAUACAUUUAAAUAUGUUUAGGUUUUACUAACUGAAAAAUCAGUUAAAGCUAAAUAGAAUUAUUUAAUAAAAUACAAACAUAAAAUAAAAUAAAUAAAAAUGCCAAAAGCACAUAAAAUUGCAAGAAAAUAAACUAAACUUACAAUAUAGAAAUUUAGAAAAGCUUAAUACAAUAAUAGCAUAUAAAUAAUACUAAAAUUAAAGUUUAUGUCUGGUGCAUGUAAAAAUAUAUAGAGUAAUAAUGUAAACCUGUUCAUUAAAAUAUAUAUAUAUAUAUAUAUAUAUAUAUUACAAGAAAACGGAGUCUUAAACAUACAUAUUCAAAAACAGAAUUUUUAUUUGUCUUCUUUCUUUUGUGCUUUCAAACUGAAACACUCUUCCAUUGUGCCAAAUACCCAACUUCUCAUUAUUGUGCAAAUCAGAUGGUAUCACAAUAAUCAGAUUUCCAAAUGAUUUUGGGCCAGUUCUUCCUGGCAGUCUCUGAGAUGUCGAUUUGGAUGUAAUUAAAUUACCACCCAGCCUUUGUGUUUGUCAGGAUACAGCAGAUAAUGCGGUUGUGGGCGGUGAAAGAACACUAACAUUUCUGAUUCAGAUGACAAUAAGUUUACAGACGUGAAUGCUGCAGUGACCUCAGCCACUCGUGUUAAACAGGCCUAUUGUCAUGUAUUGACUCGUGGGAGCUGUGUCUGGAUGUGUGUGCUGUAGGAGACAUGCAGUCCAGCUGGAGGAAGGUGAUACAGGCACUCUUCAGCCCCUCUACCAGACCACGUGCCUGCCCUGGGUCACCUUCAUGAACAGACUGGGUGAGUCACCACAACCGUCUGCAGCUUAAUGCUGAUUUUUAUAUAUAUAUAAAAAAUUGUACAAAUAAAUACCAAAUUAAAAGGCAUUAAACAAAUUAAUUGGUAUAUAUAUAUAUAUAUAUAUAUAUAUAUAUAUAUAUAUAUAUAUAUAUAUAUAUAUAUAUAUAUAUAUACUGUAUUUAUAUAUAAUUAAAAAUUAUAUAUAUACUUAUUCCCCCACACACAUGAGUCUCUACCCACCCGCACAUGCACUCGCCCAUCAAGUGUUGUCACACUCUGCUGUGUUGGGGCCCACGAUUGUGCAGGUCCCUACUCGGAAGGUACCUGUUACAAUGUUAUGAUCAAGGCUCUGGACUCCGAGCAAAACUUGUUUUUCUACAACAAACUAUAAACUCUUUUCUAUAAAAAACGUUAAUGUUUUGGCAGUGGCAAAUAGCAUUGGUUUUAUAUUUAAUUUGAUUACAUUAAUGUUAUAAGUUGAGAUUUACAAGAAAUAUUUUUACUGCUACUAUGUAAAAGGAAUACUGCUGUAAAAAUAGCACCUUAUUUGUUUUAAUUGUUUGGUAUUGCACUUUUGUUCAUAUAGCAGUACUUUUAAAUGAAAAAAAGUGCACAAUACACUACUUUUGAAUUCAUCAUUUAAUUUUGUGAAGCAUAAUGCGAUUAAUUGCAGAAAAUCAUGUGAUUAAUCGCCAUUAAAAAAAAAAUAAAAAUAAUCGCUGACCAGCACUAAUAUAAAUAUAUUUCUUUAUUG
ensembl:lncRNA